rnacentral:lncRNA from 13 species
GCACUCACUGCACUGACAUUGCAAUUUAUUGCUGAAAACUGGAUACCAUGAGUGGCUGAUUCACUGUCCAGCAAAUUGUUAAUGAUUUCUUAUGUCUAUUCUUCUGUAUGUGUCUCUAGGUCCACGUCACUGUCUUUCUGAGAAAUACUUAAGCCUUGGAUUCAGACACAGCACCGUAUGGAAGCUGCCUCAGAGAUUGAAACAGGGAAGAGGAAUCUUUGCAAGGAUAAUAGGGAUGGUGGAGAAAAGAGAGAGAUGCCAGGAGUCCAUGGUGCCCUCCAGCAGAUCCCGGAAAGAGUCUUUGUGA